UGUCGUCAGCUCGUGUUGUGAAAUGUUGGGUUAAGUCCCGCAACGAGCGCAACCCUUAUCCUUUGUUGCCAGCGGUCCGGCCGGGAACUCAAAGGAGACUGCCAGUGAUAAACUGGAGGAAGGUGGGGAUGACGUCAAGUCAUCAUGGCCCUUACGACCAGGGCUACACACGUGCUACAAUGGCGCAUACAAAGAGAAGCGACCUCGCGAGAGCAAGCGGACCUCAUAAAGUGCGUCGUAGUCCGGAUUGGAGUCUGCAACUCGACUCCAUGAAGUCGGAAUCGCUAGUAAUCGUGGAUCAGAAUGCCACGGUGAAUACGUUCCCGGGCCUUGUACACACCGCCCGUCACACCAUGGGAGUGGGUUGCAAAAGAAGUAGGUAGCUUAACCUUCGGGAGGGCGCUUACCACUUUGUGAUUCAUGACUGGGGUGAAGUCG
rnacentral:rRNA from 1 species